ensembl:lincRNA
GCCCUGUCCAGUUUGAAAUCUCAGCAGAGUGACAAACAUUGAGAGUUGUCAAAGAGCAGUUCCAGUCUCAUCACAACAUUUAAAGCUUUUGGAAUGCAUCGGUUUUGGAAGUAGUCCUCAGGAGUUGUUGCUCCGGAAUACAACUCACUCUUAACCUGCUUUUAGCAGUUUAUGACAGAGUGAAAAUUCAGAGCUCACUGAACUUCAGGAUGGAACUAUCCCAGGCGGAGUGAGUCAGGCAAACUGUAGGCACUUUGGGCAAGAAUGCACAUUCUCUGCCAAGGCAUCACUUAUUUUACAGGGAAAAAACAGUAAAUUUUUAAAGGCAUACACAAAGAACUAUGCUUAUUAAUGUGGGAUAUGACUUUCGUGUGACAAAGCAGA